rnacentral:lncRNA from 2 species
CUAUACGGAUUUGAUCAGUCAGGAGUUGCACAACGCCAACAUAAGAUUAUCCCAUCCAAGCAGGAGAACCACUCAUUCUUGCAGAGCAGAGUUCUGUUUUCAGGGAACACCAUUCUUAAUUUGUUCCGUCAACAACAGCAGCAGGUUUCGAUGAAGGAAAGCUCAUUCUUUUGCAUGAUAAUGAAACAAUCUGUAUUUUUGUCAGUCCAGUGGCUGCUUAUGCUUAGAAACAGUGGUUUCGUGUAG